rnacentral:misc_RNA from 1 species
CUCCAUGUUGCAUCUCCAUGACAACAAGUAAAUAAUUUUCAUGAGUUAUGGCGGCCGUCAAACCAACAUCAAUCAGGGAAGCUAUUGCUAGAUGGGAAAAGGAAAAUGAAGGUCAAAAAGCUGUAGAAACCAAAGUUUUAAAUUUCUCAUUCCAAGUUCCUUUCAUUGAGAAGAUUGAUCCAACAGUGACCACAUUAGCUGCUUGCGAGCAUUUGUCAUUGUCUACAAAUAAUAUUGAAAAAAUUGCAAAUUUGAAUGGGCUCAAAAAUUUGAAAAUACUUUCUUUGGGUAGAAACAAAAUCAAAGUUCUAACUGGUUUGGAUGCUGUUGGAGAAACACUUGAACAGCUGUGGAUUUCUUACAACUUAGUAGAAAAACUGAAAGGUAUCAAUGUUCUGAAGAAUCUACGGGUAUUAUAUAUGUCAAAUAAUGUAGUGAGUGACUGGAAUGAAUUCAAUAAACUAGCUGAUCUACCUCUUCUUGAAGAUCUUGUAUUUGUAGGAAAUCCUAUUGAAGAACACCAUUCAGCUGCAGGAGACUGGAGAGAUUUGGUGGCCAAGAAACUACCAAAACUUAAGAAACUUGAUGGGGUCCCUAUUAUUCGAAUGGAAGAAGAAGAAUGAAAACAGACAAUGUUCAUUACUUCACAAAAGUGGUUAUACAAGUGCAUUUUUCAUUUCCCAUCUUUUUUUUUUUUCAAUUUUUUCUUUUUCUUAUAAUUUCUAUGAAAUUAAAAUACAAAGACAGUAUUGGUAAAAAGAAUGUAACACCAUAGUUACCUUUUGACCUAAUAUAUAUAUGUAUUUGUAUAUAUGUGUGUGUAUGUGU